rnacentral:rRNA from 1 species
CACGUAGGCGGUUCGUUAAGUCAGGUGUGAAAGCCCUCGGCUCAACCGAGGAAUGGCACCUGAUACUGGCGAGCUCGAGGAUGGCAGGGGUGAGCGGAACUCCAGGUGGAGCGGUGAAAUGCGUAGAUAUCUGGAGGAACACCGGUGGCGAAAGCGGCUCACUGGACCAUCUCUGACGCUGAUGUGCGAAAGCUAGGGUAGCAAACG